UUAUUUUUUUUGUUUUGCUGACGACAAGCUGGUGACUCCUAGUUACAGGGCGGCAGCUUCGAUCGCACAUGGCAGACGACAAAAGGGUUGUGUUUCAGCUCGCAAAGCGGUUCACAAAUAUAUUCAGAACACACUAUGCAGCCGGUCUGUAUACCUCAGUGUUGUGUGCAGCCUGUCCGAGUGGUGAGAUGCCUUUGGAUUUACGGCGUAAAAAACAACAUUAAUUUAUUGGGUUAGGCUGAAAGGCUGUAAAGUUGAGCAUCCCACUGCUACUGUUCUAGAUGACUGCUGGGAAUAUACAAGUAGACAAGGCAGUGGUUUUGGUUGGACAGUUGGAAAAACUUGCUGAUGAGAAUGGUUGGAGGUUGGCCCUUCCGUGGUGAUUCAGUAUGGGGAUGUGCUUACCGUGCCUUGGUGGACCUGGAAACGACUUGUCCACCACACCAGAUCGAGUAAGUAACUUGUUACAGUAGCUAGGUUCAUUAUUAGCUUGGUUGCUGCCGGUAACUAGCGAGCUACACUUUAUAUAUAUUGCCAGCUGUGUAUGUAUACACACACACACACACAAUUGUCUGUUUCAGGUCAACAUCGUAAACAAAUUGUAAAUAUAUUUGGAUUCCAAAAUGAAACAAUGUAACAUAAAACAGCGUAACCAAUAAACACCAAAACAAUAAGAAUUAUACGUUCCCAUUCAGAUUUCUGCUCUUCAUUUCUCAUUACUUGAAUAUUUUUUUUCUCCUCAUUAAUUUCAUUUAACAUUAUACUUUUUUAAUUUAAAUUUUCCUCCCACUCAACAUGUUCUGCUAUUUUUUUUCAGUCCAGGACUAGGAUUAAUGUGUCCAGGAAACCAGCCCUAUAUAGCCCACACAUGGUGGUCCUGUGUGGCUCAGUUGGAUUAGGGUGUGGUGAGGUUGUGGGGUCAGUUCCCGCAGGGAUCCUGUACACCACUGUACCAUGAGUCAUUUAGCUGGGAUGAGGGUCUUCUAAGUGGAGUACUGUAGACAACCACUGAACAGUCAGUAGAGCUGGGCGAUACGGACACAAAUCCAUAUUGUGAUAAAUUGCCUGAAUUUAUGCGAUAAAGUUUAUAACAUUUAAUGUGCACCAUGUGUACAAAAAAAAUGAAAUCCUUUAAACUACUACUAGUUGUAUGGUUGUAGCCAUCUAUUGUUCCAUGAACAAUCAGUCAUAUUAGAAAACAUUUAAUUUCAAAACACAUUUCUCUAGUUAUAGGCUACUUAUCGUAAUGAACGAUAUCUGCCAAAAUGCCUGUGAUAAGUGAUCGGUAUGGUUUAUUUGUCCCAACUCUACCAGUUCAUCUCAGCAGCCAGCCACUCUCCCAGUCUUGUUAUUCGUAUAGAAGAGCUUCCUGAGACAGAGUGGAGUCUGCUGGGAGAAGAGAGAAGGCAUCUCAUUACCUUUCCCUUUUACCACUAUCGUGUUAACUGACCGAAAACCCCUACUGCGCUGGCUCCAAUCCCUUCCCAGUACGGUUCCAGCAGCUACAGAUGUAGGAUCUUAAUGUGAUCACCCUGUUGCAGGAGAACUUGCAGUAUAUUUGAGAUUUAAAAAGUCUUCUGAACUUUGUAAUUUCCACUGUGAUAUUUCAGACUCGAUUUUUCCCUUACGAAAAAUGUAUCAACUCCUACAAAAAAAAAAAAUCAAUUUAAUUAUAAUACACAUAAUAAUUCACUUAUCCUGUUGCUGCGUGAUAAUGUUCAGGCUGUAGCAAACUGGCUCAAAUGAAGAUCCUACAUCUGUACGGUAGAUGUGCCGUGUAACCAGGUCAGCACACUGCAGCUCGGCUUGAUUCGGCUCCAUAGUGUGAAAAGGUUAGCCGAAUAUAACGAGCCUUGAACCAAGAAAUCCAAUCUAGAAAUUCAAUCUAUGGUGUUUUGUACCCUUUGUUGCAAGGCUACUAAAGUCUCUUCAAUCAUAAUGUUUAGUAGCUCCUCAUAAGACUGGUGGGUAUUUUUUUUUACUGUUAUACAGAAAUUCUUCAGUCAAAGCCAAUUGUAUCCAACCCAUAAAACAUGUGGUCCUACUAAAGCAUCGAGGUGAGUAUGAAGACCGUGUUCUUAGCUCCAUGUUUUGACUCGGCUGGUAUUUCCUCCCACCACCCACACGACCCACCUCUCACUUCUGGUGCUGCACACUUUGUCAUUCUGUCUUAACUUUAUUUUAAACGUUCCUUACCCUGGUUCCAGAUCUGUUUGUGCUGUCCAAUGGUUAUUGUCACUCCGUUGACCACAGGAGUUGGCAAGACGGCACAAACAGAUCUGGAACCAGGCUAUAUGCUUUCCCCGACACAACAACACUAUAUACUGGAACUUAAUGCCUCUAACAGAUCUGGGAACAGGCCUCUUGCCACAUUGGAGGUCAUAUAAUCCAGCCUGUGUCAAACAGCUGGCAACUGGGUUCCCACUAGAUAGGACAGCCACAAAGUCAAAAUUGGCUAUAUUGUAAAAUUCAUGAUUUUUUUUUGUUGUUGUCUUAAUUUAAGGCAUAAGGCUAGCAGUGUGGUUAUGGUUAGGUUUAAAAUAAUAUUUUAACAAGAUCAAUUGUAGAAAUAUGUGGUGUUUGACUUUGUGGCUGUGGUAACGGCUAUCUGUCUGCAUGAACUGUACUGAAUGUCUCUCAGGAAGUCUGAUAACUGGCUUCCCUGCUCAAUGGCGAGCACUAUCCUCUCUCUGGAAGUCUGACAACUGGCUUCCCUGCCCAAUGGCGAGCACUAUCCUCUCUCUGGAAGUCUGACAACUGGCUUCCCUGCCCAAUGGCGAGCACUAUCCUCUUUCAGGAAGUCUGAUAACUGGCUGCUCUGCUCAAUGGCGAGCACUAUCCUCUCUCUGGAAGCUGUUUGAUUUGCAACCCUUCUGUAUCUAGCGUUUAACCGUACAAAUAGAAUUACGUUCAACAUAAUAUUUCUAGUCAGAUCAUGACAUGCACAUCUAGGCCUGUAUUCUAGUAAAACUCUUGUCUGUAAAUUCUCUCAAUUAUGCGAGACCCAUUUCUGAAAAGAUCGAUGAAGUGAACUGAAGACGAUGAAUUAACUCGUUUCAACUGAACACAUGAUAAGAGACGUUAGACUUGUAACAGUGUAGUCAACACUAUGGGCCCUUGUCUAAAGUAGUGCACUAUAUAGGGAAUAGGGUUCUAUAGGGCCCUGGUCUAAAGUAGUGCACUAUAUAGGGAAUAGGGUUCUAUAGGGCCCUGGUCUAAAGUAGUGCACUAUAUAGGGAAUAGGGUUCUAUAGGGCCCUGGUCUAAAGUAGUGCACUAUAUAGGGAAUAUGGUUCUAUAGGGCCCUGGUCUAAAGUAGUGCACUAUAUAUAGGGUUCUAUAGGGCCCUGGUCUAAAGUAGUGCACUAUAUAGGGAAUAGGGUUCUAUAGGGCCCUGGUCUAAAGUAGUGCACUAUAUAGGGAAUAGGGUUCUAUAGGGCUCUGGUCUAAAGUAGUGCACUAUAUAGGGAAUAGGGUUCUAUAGGGCCCUGGUCUAAAGUAGUGCACUAUAUAGGGAAUAGGGUUCUAUAGGGCUCUGGUCUAAAGUAGUGCACUAUAUAGGGAAUAGGGUUCUAUAGGAUCCUGGUCUAAAGUAGUGCACUACAUAGGGAAUAGGGUUCCAGUGGGGACAGAGCCGUGUGUCUGUAGCUGCCAUUCUGACCUCUCCAUCUCCUCUUAGACAACCUACAGGGGUGUCAAAAACCCCCAAGCAGUUGAGAGAAAUAAAAAGAAUAAGGAGAUGGAGAAACAAGAGAUGAGACCGUCUCCGCCUGGAGGAGAAGGAGGAGGAGGGAUGAAGUGGCAGGUAGGCUAAAGAUAGACAUGGAGAGAUCCUGGAAGUCUCAAUGUAGACUGAGGUUCAGCUAACAACAUGAAGAUGGUACUAGUUGACUUAAAGGCUUUUUUUUUUUGAAUAUCAGCCCUUAUACUAGAUUUUUUAUUUUUAAAUGCAAGCCUUUUUUAGAGGCGAUUGUGUGUCUGCAUCUCUCAACUUCGUAGGAUAGUUUGCCGGGCUUCGACGCUGGUAAAAUAAAUAAAUAAAAAAUUCUGCUGCCCAAUGUUGGCCGUGUGAAUCACAGGACAUGCCUCCCUUAAUGCCAAGAUAUACAAGAGAAUAUGCAAGCCAGCCAAUGGAGCUUUGGAACAGACAGGGUGGCGUAGCUAUGAAUAGAAUAUAAACACUCGGAGGAAAUAUGCUCUCACACUACAUCGAUAAACUGUACCAGGCGUCUUGCAGUGAACUCUCUCUCUUUGUGUUCUCUUUGUCCUCUCGCCUUUCUUUCUCUCAGCCAUUUCCACUGUGCCAGCUUUAACACCAUGGCGCUUACUUCUUUUGCAAUUGUUUCAGACAUUUUGAACUUUGAGGAAUAUUCUUGUGAUCUAUUUACCGUAUAGUAUAUUUUCCUUCUAAAAUGAUUUUAUGCAACAAUGUCCUUUUUACUGUUCAAAAUAGGCCUAGAUGAUUCAAAUGUCAUUUUCUAUUGUAGAUCAGUGUGAAAAGAACUACGUUUCCCAUAGCUACUGAUGAACCACGUGAACGUUUUAGAGUUCCCGCACCAGCACUAUUCAGUUGACUUUUCUAUUGUAGAUCAGUGUGAAAAGAACUACGUUUCCCGUGUUGUACUCACUUCGCCUCCAUGGCCUUUUUAUAUUUUUAUUUAUUUAUACAUAUAUCUGUUUGCCUUCACCUCCCUUAUCUCACCUCACUUACUCACAUUGUAUAUAGACUUAUUUUUUUAUCUUUUUCACUGUAUUAUUGACUAUAUGUUUGUUUUUACUCCAUGUGUAACUAUGUGUUGUUGUAUGUGUCGAACUGCUUUGCUUUAUCUUGGCCAGGUCGCAAUUGUAAAUGAGAACGUGUUCUCAAUUUGCCUACCUGGUUAAAUAAAGGUUAAAUAAAUAAAUAAAUAAAAAUAGCUACUGAUGAAUGUUUUAGAGUUCACGCACCAGCACUAUUCAGUUGACUUUUCUAUUGUAGAUCAGUGUGAAAAGAACUACGUUUCCCAUAGCUACUGAUGAAUGUUUUAGAGUUCACGCACCAGCACUAUUCAGUUGACUUCACUUUAGUGUUUGAUUUUCAUAUGUCUGUGCAAUAUAAGUUAUUUGCUACACGUUGUAUUGGUUUGUAAUGUAUAAAGAAAAUGCUAUAUUUUAAAUGAGGUAAGAAGUUUGAGUCGUGAAAGCCUGAUGAAAGUGUUUUUUUAUGCAUGAAUAUUUCUUAUUUUUUUCCUCUCAUUUCAACCUGUUCAGUAAUAUUGUUGUCAUGACAAUGUUCCAGGAAUUAUUUUAUCCAAACAUACACCGGUGUCACAAUGUUCUUUCUUGGGUAUGCAGUCUGUUGUCAGGAUGGUAAUAGGACUACCGUUAUUCACCAGGUUUCAGUCCAUUUCAGUUCAGGAAGUACACUGAAAUUACAAUUAUCUGCAAUGCUUUUCAAUGAGGAACAUUUUUUUUGGAUUUACUUUCUGAAUUGAAAUAGAAUUGACCCCAACCCUGUCAUCCACUGGGGCGUACCUGUCCACGAUGAUAACUGCAGAUCUGUCAUCCACUGGGGCGUACCUGUCCACGGUGAUAACUCUGCAGAUCUGUCAUCCACUGGGGCGUACCUGUCCACGAUGAUAACUCUGCAGAUCUGUCAUCCACUGGGGCGUACCUGUCCACGAUGAUAACUCUGCAGAUCUCAGAAGGAAAUGGGAAGAGAGCCUGAACCAGCAGGUGUUAUUGUGCACUUGGAAGUAUUGCAUUUAUACCUGCCUUGCUUUUUAUACUUGAGGUUUCUUCUUCCUAUACCCACCUAGUGCUUCAAAGGCUCUUGCCAUUUUGAGGUGCAUGAAGUCACGCCAAUGUCAUUUUGUUGAAAUAACGUUGUCAGAUGACUGUUGUUUUUGACCUGGGGCAAUUGUGCACCGCCUUAUGGGACUCCCGAUCACGGCCGGUUGUGAUACAGCCCAGGAUCGAACCAGGGUCUGUAGUGAUGCCUCUAGCACUGAGGUGCAGUGCCUUAGACCGCUGAGCAUAACAAUGUGUUUAUAAAUAAUGUAAAAUAAUAAACAAUUUGUCACAUACACUGGAAAGGUGCAGUUUACAGGGUCAGCCAUAGUACAGCACUCCUGGAGCAAAUUAGGGUUAUAAGUGCCUUGCGCAAGGGCACAUUAACAGAUUAUUCACCUUGUCGGCUCGGGUAUUCAAACCGUCAACCUUUCGGUUACUGGCCCAACACUAACCACUAGGCUACCUGCCACCCUUUAUGAUGGACACACAAAUCAAAUCAGAGUUAAUUGGUCACGUACACAGAUAUAUAUAUAUAAAAAAAGAUGCUUUUAUCUUGCUCCAACAGUGCAGUAAUACACAUAUAAACCAAAAAGUAAUAGAAAGAUAUUAAGAAAUAUCAGAACGAGCAAUGUCAUAGUCCGGAAUAUACAGUGUGUGUACACUACUUGUCAAAAGUUUUAGAACACCUACUCAUUCAAUGGUUUUUCUUUAUUUCUACUAUUUCUACUGGCCUCUUUCUAGAGCUCCGACUUCCCGAUUCAUCUCGAAAGCACCAUAAUAGCUCAGAAAUGAGCGAAAUGACAGGCUACUUUGACACUGACAAACUGAGAUGAAUGAAAACCACCUCUUCUUGAGUCCAUCAAUAGCCAACGCCUAGUUGUGUGGAGACUAUAGGAAAUUAUAGUCCUAAAAAUGCUUUCCAGUUUCACUGAUUCACCCAAAGAUGUGCGGCUCACUCACUGGUGAUGGCCUAUGCGCGCGUCCCCGACUGUAGACUAUGCCUUGUAUUGUACACUCCAAUAGGCUAUUUAUCCUCUGUGGCAAACGUUUAGGCGUUCUCAUGGUGUAGUAGGCUAUUCUGAAUUAUUAAAUGUAUUUCUGAACAGACAGCAGUAACUCUAUAACUUUGGCACAUUUAUUUCAAUUUCUCAUGCGUGCUUCAGCUCCUCCAGAACCCUUCGUAUGAUUCUAUAAGGGGAAUGAUGAAGUGCGACGCUGGAGAGAUGAGAGUUGCAGGCUCAUGUCUAUCAGAGCAGAGAGAGAUUUUAGAAAGGGAAUCUCAUUCUAGUUUGGUGAGAGAUACAGGGGGG